rnacentral:rRNA from 1 species
GUCUUUUUGAAAAUAAUUUAAAGUCAAAUCUGCUCAAUGAAAAUUUUAAAUAGCUGCAGUAUUUUAACUGUACAAAGGUAGCAAAAUCAAUAGUUUAUUAAUUGUAAGCUGGAAUGAAGGAUUUAAUGAAAUAUAAAUUGUCUCUAAAUUAUUUAUUUAAUUUUCUUUUUUUUAAAAAAGAAAAAAUAAUUUUAAAAGACGAGAAGACCCUAUAGAUUUUUAUAAAAAUUAAAAUUUAAUUUAUAAUUAUUAAAAUUUUUUUAAUUUUUAUUUGAUUGGGGUGAUUAUUAAAUUUAAUAAACUUUAAUUUAUUAUUACAUUAAUUUAUGGAUAAAAUAUUUUUAAUUUAAAAGUAUAAAAUAAAAUACCUUAGGGAUAACAGCGUAAUUUUUUUAUAGAUUUAUAUUAAUAAAAAAGUUUGC